rnacentral:rRNA from 1 species
CCUACGGGAGGCAGCAGUCGAGAAUCAUUCACAAUGGGGGAAACCCUGAUGGUGCGACGCCGCGUGGGGGAAUGAAGGUCUUCGGAUUGUAAACCCCUGUCAUGUGGGAGCAAAUUAAAAAGAUAGUACCACAAGAGGAAGAGACGGCUAACUCUGUGCCAGCAGCCGCGGUAAUACAGAGGUCUCAAGCGUUGUUCGGAAUCACUGGGCGUAAAGCGUGCGUAGGCUGUUUCGUAAGUCGUGUGUGAAAGGCGCGGACUCAACCCGCGGACGGCACAUGAUACUGCGAGACUAGAGUAAUGGAGGGGGAACCGGAAUUCUCGGUGUAGCAGUGAAAUGCGUAGAUAUCGAGAGGAACACUCGUGGCGAAGGCGGGUUCCUGGACAUUAACUGACGCUGAGGCACGAAGGCCAGGGGAGCGAAAGGGAUUAGAUACCCCGUAGUC